rnacentral:lncRNA from 1 species
GGCCGCCCCGCGCCGCCAUGGAGCCGGGCCGCCAGGCGCUGCCGCUGGAGAACGCGUCCAUCCUGUGCGAGGGAGCCCUGCAGGACGGGCACCGCCUCUGGAUCGGGAACCUCGACCCCAAGAUCACCGACUCCAGACCCGCGUCCUGCGCUUGGUUUGGCUUUACAAAAGGUUUCACCCCACUGAAGGUGGCAUCGCCAGCUCGUCAGCUCCGUCUCCUUGCACAAAAACACAGAGGGAGCUCCUUGCGGUGCGCGGUCAGCACAGGAAUAAAGGAGUGGCCGUGUCACUGCUGCGAGUCCUUACACACCCUACAAGCCCACACUGCCCCGUGUGUUCCUGUCCGAGGCUCCACACCCAUCCCUGCUCACCUGGAUUAUCCCCGCUGAGCCCACGGAUCGUGUGGCUGGAGCCACGCACCUGAACGCUAAAACAGCUCUUCCUCCUUUUCCAGAUUUUAUCUGAUUUUAGAGCACUGCCCCUGCAAUGCCUGUGUCAGAUUCCCUCAAGGUGCAGUAAAGCUGCAGGGCUGUUGGUAGGGCUGAUCGUUGUGACUUCCUCGAGCAGGAAUGGGUUCAGAAAGUCCUGAAUUAAUCUGAGACUUCCGCUUAGCGAGCAGCCUGCAGCUGCAAUCGUGCGCUGGGGAGUUAAUGGGUAACGUGCGCGUUCGAGCACAAGCUGCGGUAAUGGGGAUUUGUAAAUGUAGGGCUGCCGGCAAAUUACAGCCUGCACGCCGGUGCCUUUCGGGAGGUUUGUGCGUGUACUGAGCAGCUGUGGCUCCAACGGGGGGCUCGGAGGGGGUCGAGCACCAAUGCCCCUUCUGUGUCAGGGUUCGGGGCGCCUUCUGGUGGGCGUCCUUACUGGUACCGGGUACUGGGGGGCUUCUUUUGGGUGCUCAGCCUCUGGGUUUGGUGUCGGUGAGCGAGGAGGCUGCGGGGUUCCCUCAGCAUCGCUGCAAGCCUCUGGUGCAGCGUUUAUCGCCCGGGGGAGGUGGGAGAUGCUUUGUGCUGCUGCGUGGUGGAAAAGCCUUCAGAGACCCACGUUUUGUGCCCAAACGCUGUGCUUCCAGCACUGCAGCUACACGCACGCUGUCUGGUCCCCGGCAGCCCUUGAAUGAGCAUGAAUUGCCUGCAGGUAUGAAGUGUGGAUGUCCGACUUCCUCGGCUGCUCUGCCGCUUGUCUGGGGUCC